CAUAUACCACACCCCCUCGGGCCUUAUUGCUUAAUUAUACAAUGGUAGCAUGCUAUUUGUUUUAUUGUGUAAAACGAUUGUAUUUAACCAGAUGAUUUGCUCAACAUUAUGCUACUACCUGUACUGUAGCAUCAUUUAACUGUUAAUAUGUCUAUGAGCUCAUGGAAGCUUCCCUGUAGCAGUGCUAAACCAGGUUGAAGUGAAGCUUCCUUGUAGCAGUGCUAAACCAGGUUGAAGUGAAGCUUCCUUGUAGCAGUGCUAAACCAGGUUGAAGUGAAGCUUCCCUGUAGCAGUGCUAAACCAGGUUGAAGUGAAGCUUCCCUGUAGCAGUGCUAAACCACGUUGAAGUUAAGCUUCCCUGUAGCAGUGCUAAACCAAGUUGAAGUGAAGCUUCCCUGUAGCAGUGCUAAACCAAGUUGAAGUGAAGCUUCCCUGUAGCAGUGCUAAACCAAGUUGAAGUGAAGCUUCCCUGUAGCAGUGCUAAACCAAGUUGAAGUUAAGCUUCCCUGUAGCAGGGCUAAACCAGGUUGAAGUGUUGACUGAAGGUUGCAGGGCUAAACCCUCUGCUGCUAUGUACUAAAGCAGUGGUCUAAAAGGAAAAGGAAACCGCUCAGAUGUUUUAUUUACAUGACUUAAAAAAUGUAAGCCUAUGCAACAUUAACCAAUUAAAAACAGUCCUGUGGUAAUGAGGUUUGUGCAGUAAGCUAUAGUCCCAAUACACUAUCACUGUAUAUUGGCUAGGUUUGAAUUGCCCUGCCAAUGUUGUUUUUCAAUAGGACAUUCUAAAAUUAUAUUUCAACAUUAUAGGUAUUAUGAUCAGACUGGUAAUAGAUAAUUUUAUGUAUUACUUGUGAGGCACAGCUGAGUGACAUAAUAAUUAUAUAUACUUUUUUUUACUGUACUGAUGACCUGCAUCUGAUGGUCAGUCUGAGGGGAGGGAGCAGCAGUGAGGCUGGCUCUCACCUAACACACCAUCCCUCUGCUAAGAUAAGGGGAUGUAAGGGGACGUAGUCUUCCAUCUGAUGGUCACUCUGAGGGGAGGGAGCAGCAGUGAGGCUGGCUCUCACCUAACACACCAUCCCUCUGCUAAGAUAAGGGGACGUAAGGGGACUUAGUCUUCCAUCUGAUGGUCACUCUGAGGGGAGGGAGCAGCAGUGAGGCUGGCUCUCACCUAACACACCAUCCCUCUGCUAAGAAAAGGGGACGUAGUCUUCCAU
ensembl:lncRNA